CGCGACAGUGACGCGCAUCCGUCGGUCCUCGGCGUGGCCGUCGUCGUGGCCGAGCAGCAUGACCUUGUCGUGGUUGAAGAACCAGUUGUUGGAGAUGGUCACGUCGGUGGAUCCGACCGUCACGUCCAGCAGCCCGUCCUCGCACCGCGACAGCGAGUUGUGGUCGAUCCACACCUUGGCGCUCGACACCAGCCGGAUGGCGUCGCCGUCCAUGCCGCCGGCCGGCUGCACGGCGCCGCCGGGCCUGACGGCCAGGCCCUCCGGCUGCGAGCGGCAGCCGUGGAUGUGCAGCCCGUGGAUGAUGACGCUGCUCACCCGGUGCAGCACGAUGCCCGCCCCGCCGGCGAUGUGCACGUCGGCGCCGCGCCCGUCGAUGGCCGUGAAGCUCUUCACGAACAGCGGCUGCGCCAGCCUGAUGUGCAUGUCCCUCUGGAAGGUGAUCCACACCUUCCCGCCCAGCACCGUCGCGCCGUACCGCAGCGUGCCCGGGCGCGGCCGCACCGGGUCGUCCCCGGGGUCCGUCACCGUGUACGGGAUGACCCCGGGCCCGCGGUUCUGCCGCAUCUUCCCGGCGAAGCCCACCGAGCACGCGGCCAGCCGCUGCCGGUUCGCGGCCCAGUUGGGCUGCCCGCGCCAGCACCGGUCGAUGACGUUCGCGCCGUCGACGACCUUCGUCGUCACUGCCCCGUGGAGGAGGAUCGAAAGGAAGACGAUCGCGAGCACUUCUUUGGAGGCCAUACUCGAGACGUGUGUCAAGCUCGAACCAAGCCUGUUGCUCGCCAGUUUGAGGGCGGCGGCAGUGUCAAUGUAUAUACUGGGCAGCAUGGUGAGAUGCCACUGAGGCGUUGGUGCCAUUUGUUUGUUUUAGUACUAUUUAUUAGAAUUUAUUAGAAGAAACUGCCGGAUGCAUGUAACUGCGUCCGUUUGUGUUUGUUUAAAGUGAACUCGUGAUGGUAUUGGUUAAUGUUUCAUCGAUGAGCAACAAUAACCAUGGCGGAGCUGCUGG
rnacentral:misc_RNA from 1 species